AUUCCAGCUCCAAUAGCGUAUAUUAAAGUUGCUGCAGUUAAAAAGCUCGUAGUUGAACUUCGGAACCGGUCGAUUGGUCCGUCCUCUGGAUUGUGUACUGAUCGAUCUGUUCUUCUUCGCGAAGACCGCGUGUGCCCUUAACUGGGUGUGCACGGGAUUCACGACGUUUACUUUGAAAAAAUUAGAGUGUUCAAAGCAGGCAUUCGCUUGAAUAUCUCAGCAUGGAAUAAUAGAAUAGGACUUUGGUCUUAUUUUGUUGGUUUCCGAGACCGAAGUAAUGAUUAAUAGGGACAGUUGGGGGCAUUCGUAUUUCAUUGUCAGAGGUGAAAUUCUUGGACUUAUGAAAGACGAACUUCUGCGAAAGCAUUUGCCAAGGAUGUUUUCAUCA
rnacentral:rRNA from 1 species